CCUACGGGAGGCUGCAGUGGGGAAUAUUGGACAAUGGGGGGAACCCCGAUCCAGCCAUGCCGCGUGUGUGAAGAAGGCCCUCGGGUCGUAAAGCACUUUCAGUGAGGAAGAACGCCUGGUGGUUAAUACCCAUCAGGAAAGACAUCACUCACAGAAGAAGCACCGGCUAACUCCGUGCCAGCAGCCGCGGUAAUACGGAGGGUGCGAGCGUUAAUCGGAAUUACUGGGCGUAAAGCGCGCGUAGGUGGCUUGAUAAGCCGGUUGUGAAAGCCCCGGGCUCAACCUGGGAACGGCAUCCGGAACUGUCAAGCUAGAGUGCAGGAGAGGAAGGUAGAAUUCCCGGUGUAGCGGUGAAAUGCGUAGAGAUCGGGAGGAAUACCAGUGGCGAAGGCGGCCUUCUGGACUGACACUGACACUGAGGUGCGAAAGCGUGGGUAGCAAACAGGAUUAGAUACCCGGGUAGUC
rnacentral:rRNA from 1 species